GAAAACGAGGCAGAUUCAAAUGCCUGCUCCCAAACCAGGAAAUACAAUGAUAAGCAGCAGAAUAUAUAACCACAAAUAUGUUGAGGUCUAGGCUCCCCACAGCAAAUAAUAGGGAUUAUUGAAAGAAUUCAACGAUGUAAGAAAAUUCAUUAUAACAUGUUACACAAAUUUAUUAGUGUAGUCCAAUAACAAAUACGAAUCUGACUGGAUUGUGAUCACAAUGAAAAGGAAUAGCAAAACUUGGAAAAAUAUAAGCUGGAAACUUUAGAAUCUAGAGGCUAGUCAUCUUUUUGACACUAACACCAUUUUGCCAAUCAUAGAAAAAUAGAAGUACAUUAAAACCAUUAAACCUUCUUUUGGGACAAAAGACCAUAGUCAAAGUGUCAGAAGAAUCCCAUGUUCAAUCCACCCUCCAAUGUUAUUUGUAGGAAGGGAAUUAUACUGAUUGACCACUGCCUUCAACAUUUUUUCUUUGCCAAAAAAAUUUUGGCCUCUAUUAUUGGAACUCUAUAAGCACCUUCUCCCUCCCUAUCUUCUCUCCUUUUUCUCUAAAAAGCACGAGGUUUGGAAGUCUCCUGUACACCUUCUCUCACACAAUACUAUGUUUUGUCAAUCAUUUUACUUUAAAAAUUUCUUGGAUGAAUAUUAUAUUUAACUAGGAAAGAUUCUCACGUAAAAAACACCCUUAAAAUGUUGAAAAAAAAAAUCCCAAACACAUAUAAACAUAUCAAAAGCAUAAAAUCCUUGAAGGACUGUUAGAUAUGAACAAUGGUCCUUGGAAAUGACUCACAAGUCAUAGAGCACAUUGCACAAGGACACGGCAAAAAGCAACCUGUUCAUGAUGUUCAUAUGCCCAAGAUACACAAAGCAAAAGAGUAAGCUGUUCACAAUGUGCAUUGUCUGACACUGAGACAAACAUGCACUUGCAUAUACACACAGGGAAAAAGUAAACUGUCCAUGCCAACAUGCCAAGAAGGCAAUAUGUAAAAGAGUUCCCAUCCUGGAGAAGAAAGUAACAAGCUCUCUUGCCUUGUUCUUUUCCUCUUAAUAAACAAACUACAUCAGAGCAAACAGACCAGAAAAGAAUGCCAGAAUCAAUUGAGUCCUGCCCUUCACAGAAGGAGAAGGGCCAUAUGUAUUGCAACAAUUCAGAUUACGAUUCAUACGUAAUAAAAAUUGAAAUAUAAGCAAAGACAAUAUAAAUGCCAUAAAAUAACAAAUGAUACGCAUUUUCUCCACAUUCUACAGAUGAAGCAACUAUAAUGUCAUAAUGUCUGUAUAUUAGCUAGAGGCAGAGGUGCAGAUAGACAUAGGAAAACGAAGAUUGAAAGGAAAAGAAAGUUCGUAGAAAUUUCAGUCUCAAUGAAGACUGGGAUCCAUAUCAAAGAAGGGCAAGAUAAAACAUUCUCUCAAGUAGCGUUGUGGGUGUGCUUUCAUAGCUACAGGGGAUAUUGUUCAUCCUCAAAAGCAGCUAGAGCAAUAAUCAAAACAAAAUAAUAGUAAAUCAAUGCCACGAGAUACAAACUGAAACAAAUAUUUAUUGAGUUCAUUUUUAAUUUUAUUGGCAAAUAUUGCAUAAUUCCAACGUUAAAGAAUUCGCAACUAUUAAUAAUUCAACCAAGGAAAAAUGGGAUCUAGUAAAUACAUAUUAAAAUGUUGAAAUGAAUAAGUGAAGUGGCUUGGAGAGCUAACCAAUAGAAGCACUUGUAUAGAGAC
rnacentral:misc_RNA from 1 species